AAUCAACGCUGGCGGCGUGCCUAACACAUGCAAGUCGAACGCGAAAACCCCGCAAGGGGUUAGUAGAGUGGCAAACGGGUGAGUAACACGUGGGUGACCUGCCUUCGAGCGGGGGAUAACGUCCCGAAAGGGACGCUAAUACCGCAUAACAUCCUGCCUUUUAAGAGGUGGAGAUCAAAGCCGGGGAUUCGCAAGAACCUGGCACUUGAAGAGGGGCCCGCGCCUGAUUAGCUAGUUGGUGGGGUAAUGGCCUACCAAGGCAACGAUCAGUAUCCGGCCUGAGAGGGCGGACGGACACACUGGGACUGAGACACGGCCCAGACUCCUACGGGAGGCAGCAGUGGGGAAUUGUUCGCAAUGGGCGCAAGCCUGACGACGCAACGCCGCGUGGAGGAUG
rnacentral:rRNA from 1 species